CCCGUUACCUGUGAGGGGUGGGUCGUGUGACUCGGCCUGUUCCAGCAGGAGCCCGCUGGACGCGGCGGGCACAGCAGGAAUGCUGCUUGUUUGGGAAGGCUGUGCAGGGCUGGCUGCUCUGCCUCCCCCCCUGGCAGCGGCUCAGCCCGUCCCUGUUGCUGUUACAGCACAGCUGCUCCCCAAACCUCUUCGUGCAGAACGUCUUCGUGGACACCCACGACCUUCGCUUCCCCUGGGUCGCCUUCUUCGCCAGCAAGAGGAUCCGGGCGGGCACGGAGCUGACCUGGGAUUACAACUACGAGGUGGGGAGUGUGGAGGGCAAAGAGCUGCUGUGCUGCUGUGGGGCCAUCGACUGCCGGGGCCGCCUGCUCUGAGCCCCCCCUGCUCCCCACGGUCCUGGUGCUUCCCUCGGGGAGGGAAAAGGUUCUCCAGAGCUUCUGUGUUCUCCUGGUCCCUUGGAAAGUCACGGAUGGACGCGGGGCAGGAAGGGAAUCUGGGGGAUUCCCGACCCCUGGGCUUCUCCCACCUUCCAGAGGCUCCAGUUACCACCACAACCUCCCUCAGGAAAGGGAGUUUUUCCUGUUCCCUUCCAGCUCUCUGCCAAACUUGAGGCACAAACCCCCUUCUUUUCCAGCAGGAAGCACUUCCCCAAGACUCCCAACUUCAUGGUUGGGAUUGAGGCCUUGGGAAGUGGGAGGGAAAGAGGACGGUGAAAUCCCAGAAAGGUGGGACCAACCUGGAUUUCUGUGACGUGAAUCAUCUGUGAGAUGAUGUUGUAAAGAAUCUUUUGUACUUUUGGUUGUUAAAAAAAAAAAGCAAUAAACUUAAUGGUUUUUUUCUACUACAAAUCAUCUGCAGUGGCCUCAAGACACAGCAAAGAUCCCUGGAAGAGCAGCACUGAACCACUUCCCACCAUCCCUGUUUCCGUGGGGUUUGCAGGAAAAAUGCCAAAGGCCCCAGGAACAGGGAUAAGGAGCUCCCACAUUCUCACCUUUCCCUCACCUUUUCCUCAAAACAAACACUCCUUAAACCCUUCACUUGGAAAAAUUAAACAGAAACUGGCUGGAAUUUUCUCGAGGAGGCAGAUCCAAGGCUGCUUCCCAUCUCCAGUCUUCCCAGAACGUCCCUGUAGGCUGGAAACACUGAGCUGAGCUUAAAGUCCUGCACUGAAGAGGCCACUGGGACAGCCUUAAACUCGAUUUAGGCACCUGGGGAGGGUGGGUGGGGCAGCCCAGCCCAGUCUGGCUGCUGGACACAAAUCCACACGGAAAAUCACUGGCUUUGGCAACAACACACAAUUCCAAGAAUUUGGGUUUGGGUUUUUUUUUGGUGGGGGGGGGGGUAGGACACCAGGGCAGCUCCAAAAGGUUCGAUAAACCACCUUGAAAACUGGUUAAAAGAGGCAAAUUUUAGCAAACUGGGAUCAAACCUCCCCAUUAUUGACACAGAAACCCCCAAUCCUGGAGCAGAUUCCAUCCUGCCCCCACCCCACCAGCAGCCUCAGCUCACACAGCUCUGCACAAGGGAGGUUUGUUGUUUUCCUGCAAAAUAACCCUUUUUUUUUUUUCUUUU